rnacentral:rRNA from 1 species
UGGCGGACGGGUGAGUAACGCGUGGAAAACCUGCCGUAUACUGGGGGAUAACACUUAGAAAUAGGUGCUAAUACCGCAUAAGCGCACAGCUUCGCAUGAAGCGGUGUGAAAAACUCUGGUGGUAUACGAUGGUUCCGCGUCUGAUUAGCUAGUUGGUGGGGUAAUGGCCACCAAGGCAACGAUCAGUAGCCGGCCUGAGAGGGUGAACGGCCACAUUGGGACUGAGACACGGCCCAAACUCCUACGGAAGGCAGCAG